GGAGUUGUAGUUCAACAACAUCUGGGGACCCACAGGUUGAGAAAAGCUGGGUUAGAGCAUGGUGCUGAUAACGCCAAGGUUGCAGGUUCGAUCCCCGUAUGGGACAACUGCG